ACAGGAGUAUCUGGAGCGGCAGAGCAAAGAUGAGGUAGACACCCUAGUCGGCACCGAGACGCACGGUGCGACGCCGCUGGUGAUGGCUUGCCGAAACGGACAUUACGCCGUGGCGGAGUACCUCAUCGAAAAAUGCGGCGCCGACAUCGAACAGCCCGGCUCGGUUGUCUUCGACGGGGAGACGAUAGAAGGAGCGCCUCCCCUGUGGUGCGCAGCUGCAGCUGGCCACAUCGCCUUGGUAAAACUGUUGGUGAAGAGCGGCGCCAAGGUAAACUCCACCACCAAGACGAAGUCUACACCUCUCCGAGCGGCCUGUUUCGAUGGUCAUGUUGCAAUCGUCAAGUUUCUGGUGGAGCACGGUGCAGAUAUCGAGGUUGCCAACAGGCAUGGCCACACUUGCUUGAUGAUUGCCUGCUACAGAGGUCACGUUACAAUUGCCAAGUUCCUACUGUCCCUAAAAGCGGAUACCAACAGGAAGUCCAUCAAGGGAAACACGGCCCUUCACGACUGCGCCGAAAGCGGCUCCCUAGAGAUCCUCAAAGCCCUCGUUGAGCAUGGGGCGAGAUUGGACGUGGAUUCCUACGGGAUGACACCACUUCUCACUGCCGCGGCAACAGGUAACACCCAUAUAGUGGAACAUCUCAUAGGAAUGACACAUCUGGUGAGUAGGAAGGAACGAAUAGAUGCGCUAGAACUUCUCGGAGCCACAUAUGUUGACAAGAAGAGGGACAUAAUCGGGGCUCUGGAGUUCUGGAAACGAGCCAUGGAAGAGAGGUACAGAGGAGAAGGCCCUGUGAUGCCGAAACCACCACCACCUCCUGCGAUAGCAGCCUACGAUUACGCCCGCGAGAUUUGCGACUUCGAGGCACUGGAUGAGCUGCUGACCGAUCCUGACGAGAUGCGGAUGCAAGCUCUGGUCAUCCGAGAGAGAAUCCUAGGACCGGCGCAUCCGGAUACUAGCUACUACAUCCGAUAUCGGGGAGCCGUGUACGCGGAUGCCGGCAAGUUCAGCCGAUGCAUUGACCUUUGGAAUCAUGCCCUGGAUAUUCAACAGAGUAUGCUCGAGCGGCUGAAUCCUAUGACGCAGAGCUCUCUGUUCAGCUUCACGGAGCUCUUUAGUUUUAUGAUAGGUGAGGAACACACGCAGUCGAGUAGAGGGCGCCGUGUUCCGUCGCUACAGCGAGAAGAGCUCAUGAAAGUCUUCAAAAAAGCGGUCCUCGAAGUUCGCCUAGGGAAGCAAAUGCUGGACAAGAUGCCACCUUGCGAACGCGACCUCACGUACUUAAACCGAGUUCUGGUGGUGACGUUACACCUGGCUAGUCUUUUAACUCGCGAGACUCCACCUGCAGGCACAAUAGAAUACACAGAGCUGCACAAAGAGAUCUACGAGCUCGUCAAAAUAAACGCACGGGGCCUACACGGCAGAGACGUGCUCCAGUUAUCGGUCAACGCUCACCAAGCUCUAAUGGGAAGAUACCCUGCCUGCAAGUUUCCAUCGGAUCAUCUGACAGCGGCUCUCCUGAGAUCCGGCGCGGACGUGACGAGUGGCGACAUCCACGGGAACACCGCGCUCCAUUUGGCGGCGCAGAGCUCCAAUAAUCUCAGCCUUAUGCAUCUUCUAUUAGAGGCAGGUGCUCACCUGGACGCCGUCAACUACCGGCGGAAGACCUUGAAGCACUUGCUCCAAGCGCGAGAUUACGCUGCCUUAAACCCCGUUAAGUACACCACUUUGGCCUGUCUGGCGGCUCAAGUGGUCAGGAGGACACAGCCCAUCAAAAACGUCCCAAAGCACCUGCGGAGCUUCGUGCGGCUUCACUAGUGCAGAUUUCGGACGUGGCUUUACGUGCAGAUUGUCAUCUUUUAUCCGCGAGCGAUACGGAUAAUACCGUUUCUCACGAAUAACAACCGCUCUCCCAGCCGGCGAAUUACGCAGAAGCAAAAAGCGGACGUCCUCGACUACACGGUGGAUUUUAUCAGAGGCCGGAGAAGCGUUUUCUGUAGGUCGGUCAGAGGAUGUUCGGAUAUCGUCCGGCGUUUGCGACACCAAGGCACAGAGCGGACAUCCUCGGGCUGCGUCGGAGCUAUCAAAGAGAACCCUGACCGUGUCCUCGACGAUUUGCAUCGAGGACUAAGACGAGAAGUACCGUUAUCUUCCCUUAUACAUAAACCCCCUUCGCGUAGGCCAUAUCACAGCGUCUUAACGAAGCUUAGUCGUAGUGCACGAGAUAUUUAAAUUAAGUGUUGUAUUAACUUCCCUGGCCGUGACUUCUCUCCGUGCGACAUAUAGACGAACAAAGGCAAGGUGGUCGAAAGCGAUAUUUUUAGGAUGUACUUGCUUGAUAGGGGAGAGAAGAAAUCGGAUAUUUAGAGGACUCCGAAUUCUUGGUCGAACUUACGUUCGAGAACGGGUCGGGCCGGGGUAUGAUGAAAUAUUAAUUCCCACUCUUUGCAAGGUGAACGUUUCACGUUUUAUAAUGUAAAGAUUGUGAAAAAUACAAAGUGUGAUUUAAAAAAGAC
rnacentral:misc_RNA from 1 species